UACCUAUCAUGGGAGUAGGCUGGUUAUUCCAGGGUUUGGUCCCCUCUCGCUCUCUUGCUCUUUUAUGCUGCCUUGCCUUCCACCUUCUGCCAUGGGGUGACACACCACAAGGGUCCUCACCAGAUGCCAACACCUCGAUAUUGGACUUCCCAGCCUUCAGAACCAUAAGGCUUCAGUCAAGCAACCUUCCUCAUCAAGUGGACCAGGCACAGCUCCUACUUAUCCCUGAGUAGUGGGUAUCAGUUUCCUGCCAGUCAUGGAGUUGUUCAAAGCCCAUCACAUACUCCGCAGGAACCAGGGGCACCUCACCCUCUUGUUACCACCCGCUGCCCCUGCCUGUUCACUCUGCUCCUGAGGGCAACGCCUGUGUGGCUGGCAUCCAAUGCUGUGUGCACCUCUUCCAAGGUGCAAGUGUAUGUGAAUAAUAACUGCUGUCAAUUUCA